rnacentral:rRNA from 1 species
UGGGGAAUAUUGGGCAAUGGGGGCAACCCUGACCCAGCAACGCCGCGUGAAGGAAGAAGGCUUUCGGGUUGUAAACUUCUUUGACAAGGGACGAAGAAAGUGACGGUACCUUGAAAACAAGCCACGGCUAACUACGUGCCAGCAGCCGCGGUAAUACGUAGGUGGCAAGCGUUGUCCGGAUUUACUGGGUGUAAAGGGCGCGUAGGCGGGGCAGCAAGUCAGAUGUGAAAUGCCAGGGCUCAACCCUGGAGCUGCAUUUGAAACUGUUGUUCUUGAGUAUCGGAGAGGCAGGCGGAAUUCCUAGUGUAGCGGUGAAAUGCGUAGAUAUUAGGAGGAACACCAGUGGCGAAGGCGGCCUGCUGGACGACAACUGACGCUGAGGCGCGAAAGCGUGGGGAGCAAACAGG